rnacentral:rRNA from 1 species
AGAGUUUGAUCCUGGCUCAGGAUGAACGCUAGCUACAGGCUUAACACAUGCAAGUCGAGGGGCAGCAUGGUCUUAGCUUGCUAAGGCCGAUGGCGACCGGCGCACGGGUGAGUAACACGUAUCCAACCUGCCGUCUACUCUUGGACAGCCUUCUGAAAGGAAGAUUAAUACAAGAUGGCAUCAUGAGUCCGCAUGUUCACAUGAUUAAAGGUAUUCCGGUAGACGAUGGGGAUGCGUUCCAUUAGAUAGUAGGCGGGGUAACGGCCCACCUAGUCUUCGAUGGAUAGGGGUUCUGAGAGGAAGGUCCCCCACAUUGGAACUGAGACACGGUCCAAACUCCUACGGGAGGCAGCAGUGAGGAAUAUUGGUCAAUGGGCGAGAGCCUGAACCAGCCAAGUAGCGUGAAGGAUGACUGCCCUAUGGGUUGUAAACUUCUUUUAUAAAGGAAUAAAGUCGGGUAUGCAUACCCGUUUGCAUGUACUUUAUGAAUAAGGAUCGGCUAACUCCGUGCCAGCAGCCGCGGUAAUACGGAGGAUCCGAGCGUUAUCCGGAUUUAUUGGGUUUAAAGGGAGCGUAGAUGGAUGUUUAAGUCAGUUGUGAAAGUUUGCGGCUCAACCGUAAAAUUGCAGUUGAUACUGGAUAUCUUGAGUGCAGUUGAGGCAGGCGGAAUUCGUGGUGUAGCGGUGAAAUGCUUAGAUAUCACGAAGAACUCCGAUUGCGAAGGCAGCCUGCUAAGCUGCAACUGACAUUGAGGCUCGAAAGUGUGGGUAUCAAACAGGAUUAGAUACCCUGGUAGUCCACACGGUAAACGAUGAAUACUCGCUGUUUGCGAUAUACGGCAAGCGGCCAAGCGAAAGCGUUAAGUAUUCCACCUGGGGAGUACGCCGGCAACGGUGAAACUCAAAGGAAUUGACGGGGGCCCGCACAAGCGGAGGAACAUGUGGUUUAA